UACGUAGGGGGCGAGCGUUAAUCGGAAUUACUGGGCGUAAAGCGUGCGCAGGCGGUUUUGCAAGCCGGAUGUGAAAUCCCCGGGCUUAACCUGGGAAUGGCAUUUGGGACUGCAAGGCUGGAGUGCGGCAGAGGAGACUGGAAUUCCUGGUGUAGCAGUGAAAUGCGUAGAUAUCAGGAGGAACACCGAUGGCGAAGGCAGGUCUCUGGGCUGACACUGACGCUCAUGCACGGAAGCGUGGGGAGCAAACAGG
rnacentral:rRNA from 1 species